rnacentral:rRNA from 1 species
GUGGGGAAUCUUAGACAAUGGGGGAAACCCUGAUCUAGCCAUGCCGCGUGAGCGAUGAAGGCCUUAGGGUUGUAAAGCUCUUUCAGCUGGGAAGAUAAUGACGGUACCAGCAGAAGAAGCCCCGGCUAACUCCGUGCCAGCAGCCGCGGUAAUACGGAGGGGGCUAGCGUUGUUCGGAAUUACUGGGAGUAAAGCGCGCGUAGGCGGACCAGAAAGUUGCAGGUGAAAUUACAGGGCUCAACCUUGGAACUGCCUUCAAAACUCCUGGUCUGGAGUUCGAGAUAGGUGAGUGGAAUUCCGAGUGUAGAGGUGACAUUCGUAGAUAUUCGGAGGAACACCAGUGGCGAAGGCGGCUCACUGGCUCGAUACUGACGCUGAGGUGCGAAAGCGUGGGGAGCAAACAGGAUUAGAAACCCUUGUAGUCC